UCUGGCUUCCGUCCUUCCAGUCCUGGCCCUGCUUCUACUGCUCCUGGCCUCUGCUCUGUCUCUGUCCAAGGACGCAGUCCCUGGGAAAGGCUGCCCUAGCCCACUUUCUGAAACAAUUAAAACAAUGGUGCUUUCUAUGACAACGUCAAGAGCAACCUCCAGAACAAACCUUGGGCCCCCUUCAGACCCCACCCAAGGGACUGGAGUGCAUGAAGGUCCUGCAGCUCGGGGAGAAAACUGCACAGGGUGGACCUUCGGGACAGACUUCCUCUUCUGUGGUCUUGCCCAGCUUUGUUCCAAGGUCAAAUUGCCUGUGGCUACUGGCCUUGUAACUCGCCAGCUUUAUCCACAGCCCCAGGUUGGUCCGUUUCAGUGGGGAGAGUGGCUGGCACCACUGGGACCUUCCUCAACAAGCAGAGGCUCUAUGACAAAUAUAGUUGGGUAUCGGCCAAUUAGAAUGUCAAGGAGGAGAUCCAGCUCUGGGCUAACUGCAGCUGUCUCUGGAAGGAAGUGGAAGGAGAGCAGCCAGUGAGGGAUGCCAAAGCCUUGAAGUCAUAGCCACAAUGAACUUCCUUAUAUACAAAUCUCUGGGAGAUGAGCCAAUGUUUCUGCAGAAGAGGUUUCUCUCGUGAACCUUCUCUGAGGGUCUUCAACAGCCAUAAACUUUCACCCAGAGUCAUCAGAGCAACCCCAUAAAGACAAACCAUGGCCCCUACUGCAUAAAAUAAGAUUUCAGCUAUGAUUCAUGAACUAAAUUCAGCACAGCCCUUGUGAUCGUGCCAAACUGGCUCUGCUGGGGGUCCUCACAGCCUGACUUACUCCUCCACCCCAGGUGACAGGAAAGGGGCACAGCUCGCCUGGUCUGGUCACCGGAAUUCCGAGACUGAAGGAGUAGAGGAGCCACAGCCCGCUGUCUGAAGUGGGGGUGUGGGCAGAUAGUGCCCCCCCAGAAUGAUGGAGAGCCUAAGGACACAAGCCCCGGGCUAGAGAGACUUGGGUUCGAGUUGCAGCUCCGCGACUUUUCCAAAGGCGUUUUCUUGGCAACCCGGAUUUCAGGUUUCUCAUCUGUAAGAUGGAGGUGAUACUGGUAUUUACCUCCCAGUGCACUGGGGGAAUUGAUACAAAGCAUAAUUACAGGGAGAGAGCAGGCUGGUCACUGACACUUAGCCACCUGGCAUUUACGAGGUUCUAACUAGCAGGAUUGGGAACGGAAAAUUGUGCCACUCGCAUUCACCUUAAACUUAUUUCAUUGUAAAGGAAUAGUGUUGUUGCCUUUUCCGUUGUUCCCUUUUUAUUAUCUUUCCACCCCCACAUCUCAAUUCCGCAUGGAACUUCAGGUAAAACAUCAUUUCUAUGCUUUGAGGAGGGGUCCCGGAGACCUUGGUCUCUGAGGAUUAAUAUUGUGGUUCCGUGACAGGACAGGUGUUAGAGAAAUGUGAACACCUUGGGCUGGGUAGCAGGAACAGUCGGGCUCCAGAGUCAAGCAAACCUGGGUAGAAAGCAAGGGCUUCUGUGGAUUGGUUGUGUGUCUUUGGCACGUUUCUUCAC